AUGCUUGACGAAGAUGUGGCCAUCUUUGGGCGAGCAGACAACGUAAGUGCGAUUGCAUAAACACGCCAAUUGUCAGCUACCUGCGUUAGCGAGUUGAGCCAUCUAGUGCAAAAUCCAGCGCAGAAACCCUUCAGAUUAAUUAAAAGUUGCCAUGUAAUAAGCGGUAAAAAUGUCUUCAACAACCUUCCCGGUAUCCCAUGAAAUCAAAAAGAAAAUGUUUAGAUACUUAGAAUGUAUACAAAUAAG